rnacentral:rRNA from 1 species
AUAGCCCGGCGAAAGCCGGAUUAAUACCGCAUACGCUCUACGGAGGAAAGGGGGGGAUCUUCGGACCUCCCGCUACAGGGGCGGCCGAUGGCAGAUUAGCUAGUUGGUGGGGUAAAGGCCUACCAAGGCGACGAUCUGUAGCUGGUCUGANAGGACGACCAGCCACACUGGGACUGAGACACGGCCCAGACUCCUACGGGAGGCAGCAGUGGGGAAUUUUGGACAAUGGGGGAAACCCUGAUCCANCAAUGCCGCGUGUGUGAAGAAGGCCUUCGGGUUGUAAAGCACUUUUGUCCGGAAAGAAAACCUCUGGGUUAAUACCCCGGGGGGAUGACGGUACCGGAAGAAUAAGCACCGGCUAACUACGUGCCAGCAGCCGCGGUAAUACGUAGGGUGCAAGCGUUAAUCGGAAUUACUGGGCGUAAAGCGUGCGCAGGCGGUCCGCUAANACAGAUGUGAAAUCCCCGGGCUUAACCUGGGAACUGNNUUUGUGAC